AGAACAGUAGUCAUUUCCUUCUGCAACCUCAGCUAAGAAACAGAUGGGCUUUGAAGUGCACUAAAACCAGGGCAGAUCCAGAGUGGAUGUAGUGGUGGGGCCUCACCUUCCUUUCUGAUCAUGCAGCAAGAGGAGCAAUCAGGGACUUUAAGUCCCCAAUGAAGAACAUUAUGAAUAAAGAGCUGAUGUAAGAGGACGCGGCUGAUGCCGAGGAAGUGCCAGACAGGAUUUUGACAUUUUACGAGGUGGAUCAGAAACAGAAUUGGAGCUAUUUUAUCUGGACCUAAUUAAACAACCUUCAUUACUGGCAGGUCUUGAAAUAAAUGAAGGCAGCUCCUGGUCUGACUCUUCAUCGAUACAUUUUGUGCUUGUUUAAUUUUCCAUAAAAAUAUUGUGUGCUCAUAAAAAAUAUCAACAGCUGUGCCAUACUAGAGCCUGACUAGGUCUUUUGCUACAUUAAGCUAGGGUAGUAUGUAGCAGCACUGCUACUCACCCUUCCCUCCAGCACAGGAAUCCACUUCAUGCUGGUGUCAUACCUCAUUUCUUUUUCCUUAAAGGUGUCCUUGUGUCUGCUUCCCUUUAGCAGGCACACUUAUCUCCAAACAUGAAAGUUUUUGCAUUGGCUGCAGUGGUGCUUUGAAAAAAGCAUUCACUCUACCCAAAAGAUUAGGAUCAAGGACACUUCUGGAAUAGGGAGAUGGUGAACAGAAACUCAACAGUUGAAAAGAGUGUUUGAAAUUGGGACUGACGAUAUAAUCCUGUCAUCUCUUUGGCUUGGGUAAAGCACGCCUGAGAGACCUCUCUAUUGUAAUCUAGUACUUAUUAACUAACACACUAUUCAAUGGACAUGGUAAAAUCUUGGGUCCAAUAAAGUCAGUUAACUUCCUCUGCUCAGGAUUUCUUCCUGAGUAUGGACCACAAUGGUAAUAAAUAAAGAUGAAUUUGUAACUGUCAUUGCAGAGGCUAGUUCAGAUAAUCUAAAAAUUACAGUUUUUGUGACAUUGGGAAUAUCUGAACCCCUUUGUUGGAUACUGAAAAACCAAUUUUCAGCAUGCGUUAAUACUGACUUAAUAUCUGAAAUAUAAGUUCCCUAUGUAAAUAUUAACUAUUUUGUUUAAACAUUAAAGGUCUUUUUUAUCCAGAAUGUUAAAUUAGCAUUUAUACUGAAAAAAGUCCAAAAUUUGAAGAAAGUGCCUUGAUAUAUUAGGUAAUAGCUGAAGUUCUCCCACCCUGGAUUAAUUAUAAUUAGGAGAGAUGCAUGUACAGUUGGAAUGUCAUUCAUUUCCUUGGGCUUUAGUGGAUUUUAGCUGUAACUGCUGCAUCAGUCCAAUUUUCUGCAUAACUUACCUUAACAGGGUUUCACAAGCUGAUCUAUACUGAUUUGUCACAUUUUCCCACUGUAUACCUUACAAAAGAUCUCAUGGUGAAGCAGAAGUAAGCUCAUGGUCCCACAAGAUGUGGCCAUAAUAUAGAUCAAUAUAAUGGAGUAUGAUGAAACUAAGGAAACUGACCUUUAUAUGAACUAACUGCUGGUAUUCUUGAAAUUUGAACUAGCGCUUUAGUUCUGGUAAGACUGCAAAAGAGCUAAUAAUCUGCAAUGCUGACAAAAAAGAAUUCACUAUAAAAUAAAUGCCCGUCUGCCUGCCUGACCAUCAAAAUUAAAGCAGGGAACUAAUUUAUUGCCACCUGUCCCAGAGACAAAUAUGUAAGAUAAAUGUGCACCGUGCGAUCCAGGAUGACAUCUGGGGGAGCAUUUAUUGUCUGUCAAAGUUAUUGAGAAAAGAGCAACUAUGCCAGUUGUUGCCCUAAUUCUUUUUAAGUAUGUAAGCAAUUUACAAUGAAAAGCAUUAAAAAUGGUGUGUGUUUUUGGAGUGAUUUGUGUCCAUUAGGUAUUUUAAGAUAGAUAAAUAAAACUCUGGGUUUUUUUUC